GUCUCGUUGGUGUAGUUGGUUAUCACGUGGGUCUCAUAUUCUGUGUUUUACAUGCCUAUAAUAUGACUACCAGUUUACUGGUGGAUAUCCCAAGGCCGCCAGUUCGAGUCUGGCACGGGACA